rnacentral:rRNA from 1 species
UACGUAGGGUGCGAGCGUUGUCCGGAUUUAUUGGGCGUAAAGAGCUCGUAGGCGGUUUGUCGCGUCGGCCGUGAAAUCUCCACGCUUAACGUGGAGCGUGCGGUCGAUACGGGCAGACUUGAGUUCGGUAGGGGAGACUGGAAUUCCUGGUGUAGCGGUGAAAUGCGCAGAUAUCAGGAGGAACACCGGUGGCGAAGGCGGGUCUCUGGGCCGAUAUUGACGCUGAGGAGCGAAAGCGUGGGGAGCGAACAGG